GAUGAACGCUGGCGGCGUGCCUAAUACAUGCAAGUCGAGCGAACGGACGAGAAGCUUGCUUCUCUGAUGUUAGCGGCGGACGGGUGAGUAACACGUGGAUAACCUACCUAUAAGACUGGGAUAACUUCGGAAAACCGGAGCUAAUACCGGAUAAUAUUUUGAACCGCAUGGUUCAAAAGUGAAAGACGGUCUUGCUGUCACUUAUAGAUGGAUCCGCGCUGCAUUAGCUAGUUGGUAAGGUAACGGCUUACCAAGGCAACGAUGCAUAGCCGACCUGAGAGGGUGAUCGGCCACACUGGAACUGAGACACGGUCCAGACUCCUACGGGAGGCAGCAGUAGGGAAUCUUCCGCAAUGGGCGAAAGCCUGACGGAGCAACGCCGCGUGAGUGAUGAAGAUCUUCGGAUCGUAAAACUCUGUUAUUAGGGAAGAACAUAUGUGUAAGUAACUGUGCACAUCUUGACGGUACCUAAUCAGAAAGCCACGGCUAACUACGUG
rnacentral:rRNA from 1 species